UACGUAGGCAGCGAGCGUUGUUCGGAGUUACUGGGCGUAAAGCGUGCGCAGGCGGUCUUGUAAGUUUGGUGUGAAAUCUCCCGGCUCAACUGGGAGGGUGCGCCGAAAACUGCAAGGCUGGAGUAUGGGAGAGGUAGGCGGAAUUCCUGGUGUAGCGGUGAAAUGCGUAGAUAUCAGGAGGAACACCUGUGGCGAAGGCGGCUCUCUGGUCGGCAUCUGACGCUGAGACGCGAAAGCGUGGGGAGCGAACGGG
rnacentral:rRNA from 1 species